rnacentral:rRNA from 1 species
GUAGGUGACAAGCGUUGUCCGGAUUUACUGGGUGUAAAGGGCGCGUAGGCGGACUGUCAAGUCAGUCGUGAAAUACCGGGGCUUAACCCCGGGGCUGCGAUUGAAACUGACAGCCUUGAGUAUCGGAGAGGAAAGCGGAAUUCCUAGUGUAGCGGUGAAAUGCGUAGAUAUUAGGAGGAACACCAGUGGCGAAGGCGGCUUUCUGGACGACAACUGACGCUGAGGCGCGAAAGUGUGGGGAGCAAACAGGAUUAGAUACCCUGGUAGUCCACACCGUAAACGAUGGAUACUAGGUGUAGGAGGUAUCGACCCCUUCUGUGCCGCAGUUAACACAAUAAGUAUCCCACCUGGGGAGUACGACCGCAAGGUUG